ACGCUGGCGGCGUGCCUAAUACAUGCAAGUAGAACGCUGAAGAGAGGAGCUUGCUCUUCUUGGAUGAGUUGCGAACGGGUGAGUAACGCGUAGGUAACCUGCCUUGUAGCGGGGGAUAACUAUUGGAAACGAUAGCUAAUACCGCAUAACAAUGGAUGACUCAUGUCAUUUAUUUGAAAGGGGCAAAUGCUCCACUACAAGAUGGACCUGCGUUGUAUUAGCUAGUAGGUGAGGUAACGGCUCACCUAGGCGACGAUACAUAGCCGACCUGAGAGGGUGAUCGGCCACACUGGGACUGAGACACGGCCCAGACUCCUACGGGAGGCAGCAGUAGGGAAUCUUCGGCAAUGGGGGCAACCCUGACCGAGCAACGCCGCGUGAGUGAAGAAGGUUUUCGGAUCGUAAAGCUCUGUUGUAAGUCAAGAACGGGUGUGAGAGUGGAAAGUUCACACUGUGACGGUAGCUUACCAGAAAGGGACGGCUAACUACGUGCCAGCAGCCGCGGUAAUACGUAGGUCCCGAGCGUUGUCCGGAUUUAUUGGGCGUAAAGCGAGCGCAGGCGGUUUGAUAAGUCUGAAGUUAAAGGCUGUGGCUCAACCAUAGUUCGCUUUGGAAACUGUCAAACUUGAGUGCAGAAGGGGAGAGUGGAAUUCCAUGUGUAGCGGUGAAAUGCGUAGAUAUAUGGAGGAACACCGGUGGCGAAAGCGGCUCUCUGGUCUGUAACUGACGCUGAGGCUCGAAAGCGUGGGGAGCGAACAGGAUUAGAUACCCUGGUAGUCCACGCCGUAAACGAUGAGUGCUAGGUGUUGGAUCCUUUCCGGGAUUCAGUGCCGCAGCUAACGCAUUAAGCACUCCGCCUGGGGAGUACGACCGCAAGGUUGAAACUCAAAGGAAUUGACGGGGGCCCGCACAAGCGGUGG
rnacentral:rRNA from 1 species